UUACAGCCAUAUCAUGUUGAAAUGCUGGAUCUCAUAUGAUCACUGAAGUUAAGCAACAAUGAGCCUGGUCAGUAUGAAGAUGAAUGACCACUUUGGAGUACCAGGUGCUGUAAG